AGCAGCGCCGGGUCCAGAGUGGAGGUGCUCCUAGCAGUGUCGUUCCUCGACCAGCAGCAGUUCUCACUACAGCGCCAGGACGAGUCCGGUUCGUGUGCGUCCGCGGAGAUCUCUCUCAUCUCGCUCGGCUGCGGGAAAUCGGGCUGAAGCGACUGAGUCCGCGAUGGAGAGAGAAGAGGAACAAUUCCGUAAACUCUUUAUUGGUAGCUUGAGCUUUGAAACUACAGAAGAAAGUUUGAGGAACUACUACAAGCAGUGGGGAAAACUUACAGAUUGUGUGGUAAUGAGGGAUCCUGCAAGCAAAAGAUCAAGAGGAUUUGGUUUUGUAACUUUUUCAUCCAUGGCUGAGGUUGAUGCCGCCAUGGCUGCAAGACCUCAUUCAAUUGAUGGGAAAGUGGUUGAGCCAAAACGUGCUGUUGCAAGAGAGGAAUCUGGAAAGCCAGGGGCUCAUGUCACUGUGAAGAAGCUGUUUGUAUGUGGAAUUAAAGAAGAUACUGAGGAACAUCAUCUUAGAGAUUACUUUGAGGAAUAUGGAAAAAUUUAUACCAUUGAGAUAAUUACCGAUAGGCAGUCUGGAAAGAAAAGAGGCUUUGGAUUUGUUACUUUUGAUGACCAUGAUCCUGUGGAUAAGCUUGUGUUGCAGAAAUACCAUCCUAUCAAUGGUCAUAAUGCAAAAGUAAAGAAGGCUUUAUCUAGACAAGAAAUGCAGGAAAUCCAAAGUUCUAGAAGUGGAAGAGGAGGCAACUUUGGUUUUGGAGAUUCUCGUGGUGGUGGUGGAAAUUUUGGACCAGGACCAGGAAGUAACGUCAGAGGAGGAUCUGAUGGAUAUGGAAGUGGUCGUGGAUUUGGGGUUGACUAUAAUGGGUAUGGAGGAGGACCUGGAGGUGGCAAUUUUGGAGGUAGCCCUGGUUAUGGAGGAGGAAGAGGAGGAUAUGGUGGUGGAGGACCUGCAUAUGGCAACCAGGGUGGGGGCUGCAGAGGUGGUUAUGACAAGUAUGGAGGAGGAAAUUAUGGAAGUAGAAAUUAUAAUGAUUUUGGAAAUUAUAACCAGCAACCUUCUAACUAUGGUCCAAUGAAGAGUGGAAACUUUGGUGGUAGCAGAAACAUGGGAGGACCAUAUGGUGGAGGAAACUAUGGUCCAGGAGGUGGUGGAGGAAGUGGGGGGUAUAGAGGGAGAAGACGAUAUUGAUCUUCUUCCUAUUUACCAUGGGCUUCACUGUAUAAAUAGGAGAGGAUGAGAGCCCAGAGGUAACAGAACAGCUUCAGGUUAUCGAAAUAAUAAUGUUAAGGAAACUCUUAUCUCAGUCAUGCAUAAAUAUGCAGUGAUAUGGCAGAAGACACCAGAGCAGAUGCAGAGAGCCAUUUUGUGAAUGGAUUGUUUAAUAACAUUACCUUACUGUGGAGGAAGGAUUGUAAAAAAAAAAAAAAAAAAUGCCUUU